rnacentral:rRNA from 1 species
GACAGAGGAUGCAAGCGUUAUCCGGAAUGAUUGGGCGUAAGCGUCUGUAGGUGGCUUUUAAGUCCGCCGUCAAAUCCCAGGGCUCAACCCUGGACAGGCGGUGGAAACUACCAAGCUGGAGUACGGUAGGGCAGAGGGAAUUUCCGGUGGAGCGGUGAAAUGCGUAGAGAUCGGAAAGAACACCAACGGCGAAAGCACUCUGCUGGCCGACACUGACACUGAGAGACGAAAGCUAGGGGAGCGAAUGGG